rnacentral:rRNA from 1 species
CAGUCGCCACGGUAAUACGUAGGGGGCAAGCGUUAUCCGGAAUAACUGGGCGUAAAGGGUGCGCAGGUGGUUUAACAAGUUAGUGGUGAAAGGCAUAGGCUCAACCAAUGUAAGCCAUUAAAACUGUUUAACUUGAGUGCAGGAGAGGAAAGUGGAAUUCCUAGUGUAGCGGUGAAAUGCGUAGAUAUUAGGAGGAAUACCAGUGGCGAAGGCGACUUUCUGGACUGCAACUGACACUGAGGCACGAAAGCGUGGGGAGCAAACAGGAUUAGAUACCCCUGUAGUCCCUGUCUCUUAUACA